AACGCUGGCGGCAGGCCUAACACAUGCAAGUCGAGCGGUAGCACAGAGAGCUUGCUCUCGGGUGACGAGCGGCGGACGGGUGAGUAAUGUCUGGGAAACUGCCUGAUGGAGGGGGAUAACUACUGGAAACGGUAGCUAAUACCGCAUAACGUCGCAAGACCAAAGUGGGGGACCUUCGGGCCUCAUGCCAUCAGAUGUGCCCAGAUGGGAUUAGCUAGUAGGUGGGGUAACGGCUCACCUAGGCGACGAUCCCUAGCUGGUCUGAGAGGAUGACCAGCCACACUGGAACUGAGACACGGUCCAGACUCCUACGGGAGGCAGCAGUGGGGAAUAUUGCACAAUGGGCGCAAGCCUGAUGCAGCCAUGCCGCGUGUGUGAAGAAGGCCUUCGGGUUGUAAAGCACUUUCAGCGGGGAGGAAGGCGAUAAGGUUAAUAACCUUGUCGAUUGACGUUACCCGCAGAAGAAGCACCGGCUAACUCCGUGCCAGCAGCCGCGGUAAUACGGAGGGUGCAAGCGUUAAUCGGAAUUACUGGGCGUAAAGCGCACGCAGGCGGUCUGUCAAGUCGGAUGUGAAAUCCCCGGGCUCAACCUGGGAACUGCAUUCGAAACUGGCAGGCUAGAGUCUUGUAGAGGGGGGUAGAAUUCCAGGUGUAGCGGUGAAAUGCGUAGAGAUCUGGAGGAAUACCGGUGGCGAAGGCGGCCCCCUGGACAAAGACUGACGCUCAGGUGCGAAAGCGUGGGGAGCAAACAGGAUUAGAUACCCUGGUAGUCCACGCCGUAAACGAUGUCGAUUUGGAGGUUGUGCCCUUGAGGCGUGGCUUCCGGAGCUAACGCGUUAAAUCGACCGCCUGGGGAGUACGGCCGCAAGGUUAAAACUCAAAUGAAUUGACGGGGGCCCGCACAAGCGGUGGAGCAUGUGGUUUAAUUCGAUGCAACGCGAAGAACCUUACCUGGUCUUGACAUCCACAGAACUUACCAGAGAUGCUUUGGUGCCUUCGGGAACUGUGAGACAGGUGCUGCAUGGCUGUCGUCAGCUCGUGUUGUGAAAUGUUGGGUUAAGUCCCGCAACGAGCGCAACCCUUAUCCUUUGUUGCCAGCGGUUAGGCCGGGAACUCAAAGGAGACUGCCAGUGAUAAACUGGAGGAAGGUGGGGAUGACGUCAAGUCAUCAUGGCCCUUACGACCAGGGCUACACACGUGCUACAAUGGCAUAUACAAAGAGAAGCGACCUCGCGAGAGCAAGCGGACCUCAUAAAGUAUGUCGUAGUCCGGAUUGGAGUCUGCAACUCGACUCCAUGAAGUCGGAAUCGCUAGUAAUCGUAGAUCAGAAUGCUACGGUGAAUACGUUCCCGGGCCUUGUACACACCGCCCGUCACACCAUGGGAGUGGGUUGCAAAAGAAGUA
rnacentral:rRNA from 1 species